AGAAAGAGAGACUGAGAGAAAAGAGAGACAGAGGAAUAGAGAGGCAGAGAACGGAGAAAGAGAGAGAGAUCGAGAGAUCAAAAACUGCAGUUUGCAAUCAAGAAUGAAAAGAUGUGUCUCACUUUCUGUCAGAUUUAUUCAUCUAACUGUCCGCUAAUUUCUUUCCCUGGAAUAAGAAGAAGUAAGGAAGAUGAAGCGUCAAGAACGAAGGGGAGUCAAGAAUGAAAUAGAGGGGCAGAGAUAGAGAGAAGGGCGCCACCCAGAUCUUCUGCCAUCACCGUAAGCCUCCACUCACUACCUGACUAUCGGAACCGGAAUCGCUACUGAAAUAGAGAGAGGCGAUGAAACAGAGAAAGGCGAUGAGUACGCGGAGAAAGAAGCAGAGAAAGAGAGAGGCGAUGAAAUCAAAAAGUUUCAUUAAACAAUUUUGCAGGCCCAAAACCUUGGCAGAAUGGUAAACAGAGAAGGCACGGAGUGGGGGCUGGGUAGAGAAAAAUCUGCCACCAUCAGAGAGAUAGGCUGUGUACCCAUAACCAGUAAAGAAACAGAGGUCUCUUCUCACGAAACCUUGCAGCAAGUUGUUCUCGCAGGUCCAACACAGAUUCUGAUUGCUGUUUGAUAAAAUUCUUCAAGUGAUGUUUGUUGGCCUUUUUUCUUCUCUUCCCCAAUGAUGAUUAGCCCAAAGCACCGACUCCUUCAAGGUGGUUGACAACUUUCAUUGUGAUUUGAUGGUUGGGUUGUGUACAUGAAAGCUUCUUAGAGAGCAACUUGGCUAUUGUUGGUGGCAGUGUACAUUUAAUUUGGAAGGAUUGUCAAGAGUUGGUCUAGAAUUUCCCACAGCCAAGGUGGGAUGCAAAAUUGGGUGUGGAUACAUAGCUUGAGGUCAUUCACAGUGAAAGCUCCUACCUAUGCCUUGGAAUUUUUUUAAGAGCAUGCUCUGUAAGUACUUUUAUUCUGUUUUGAGAUGAUUAAAGCUUUAUCAUAAUUAUCUCAUUGGAAUUUUGGCAUGGUUAAAAAAGGGGCAGCAAGGUAUAUAAAUGUGCACAUGCAUAAAUAUUUGUAUGUAUCAGUCCCGCCAAUUUGUAGUAAAGAAUUAUUAUCUUCAACUAUAAGAUUUAAAAUAUAUAUAUUGUUUCUUUAGCCAAUCUGAUUAUUUUGGUUUUGAUGUAAUAAUAUUAUUCUUAUUUUUCUUUUUGGAAGGCAUAACAAAUUGAAGAUAUACUAUAUGAUAGUAGGUCUAAAACAAAACUAAAAAAUUAAACUAAAAUCAAAGUAGAAAUUUUAUUCAUAUAUAUAUAUAUAUUGUUUUGCUUUCAAAGUUGGCUAAAUUAAUAAUGUCUAUCAUGUGUUGGAUGGAAUUCAUGAUAUAUGUAAUGGUUAGUGGAACUCAUUUGCUGUUUCAUAUAUCAAUGUUUAGUAUUUUUAAAAUAGGCAAAUACUUCCAUUCUUCAUAUUUUUAUAAUAGGUCUUGAUGCCUACAACGUCCCAUUAAAGAUUAUGCCACUUAGUUUAGUGUUUUCUUAUAUAUUGUUCAAUAUAUAUUUGGCAGCCAAAACAGAUUCAUUUCGAAUUGAAUAAAUUUUUUAUUUCAGUUGUUUUCAAUAACUGAAAUUUAGUUUGCUUUUGGAC